rnacentral:rRNA from 1 species
CAUUUAAAGAGUGCGUAAUAGCUCACUAGUCGAGUGACACUGCGCCGAAAAUGUACCGGGGCUAAACAUAUUACCGAAGCUGUGGAUUGUCCUUUGGACAAUGGUAGGAGAGCGUUCUAAGGGCGUCGAAGCAUGAUCGCAAGGACAUGUGGAGCGCUUAGAAGUGAGAAUGCCGGUGUGAGUAGCGAAAGACGGGUGAGAAUCCCGUCCACCGAUUGACUAAGGUUUCCAGAGGAAGGCUCGUCCGCUCUGGGUUAGUCGGGUCCUAAGCUGAGGCCGACAGGCGUAGGCGAUGGAUAACAGGUUGAUAUUCCUGUACCACCUAGUAUCGUUUUAAUCGAUGGGGGGACGCAGUAGGAUAGGCGAAGCGUGCUGUUGGAGUGCACGUCCAAGCAGUAAGGCUGAGUGUUAGGCAAAUCCGGCACUCAUAAGGCUGAGCUGUGAUGGGGAGAGGAAAUUGUUUCCUCGAGUCGUUGAUUUCACACUGCCGAGAAAAGCCUCUAGAUAGAUAACAGGUGCCCGUACCGCAAACCGACACAGGUAGUCAAGAUGAGAAUUCU